GAUGAACGCUGGCGGCGCGCCUAACGCAUGCAAGUCGAACGGCACCCCUCCUCGGAGGGCCGCGAGUGGCGAACGGCUGAGUAACACGUGGAGAACCUGCCCCCUCCCCCGGGAUAGCCGCCCGAAAGGACGGGUAAUACCGGAUACCCCGGGGUGCCGCAUGGCACCCCGGCUAAAGCCCCGACGGGAGGGGAUGGCUCCGCGGCCCAUCAGGUAGACGGCGGGGUGACGGCCCACCGUGCCGACAACGGGUAGCCGGGUUGAGAGACCGACCGGCCAGAUUGGGACUGAGACACGGCCCAGACUCCUACGGGAGGCAGCAGUGGGGAAUCUUGCGCAAUGGGGGGAACCCUGACGCAGCGACGCCGCGUGCGGGACGGAGGCCUUCGGGUCGGAAACCGCUUUCAGCAGGGAAGAGUCAAGACUGUACCUGCAGAAGAAGCCCCGGCUAACUACGUG
rnacentral:rRNA from 1 species